UGUGCGGCUUCUCGACUCUUCCACUGGGGCUGACUCGUUUGUUUCGCCCCCACCAACCUUCGACGCCUAUAUCAGACCUUUCUCGUGUUCUUCAAACUUAAGCUUUCGGGUUUUCCAAAUCUGCACUGCGAUUCUCUCGUUUUCCCAGCGAACGCGGAAACCAGAGGGAGCGUGAUCGUGAAAGAGCUCAAGCUAGAAACAAUCACAAAUCUAAGCAGCCUAAGAGUGAUGGAUUAACUCCCGAGCAACGUCGUGAACGGGACGCCAAAGCAUUGCAGGAGAAGGCGGCGAGAAAGGCGGCGGCUCGGGGUAACAGUGGCGGCGGCGGCGGCGGUGGAGGUAAAAUCAAGAAACGAAAUGACUGAGAUAUAAACUAUAAACUGUUGGUGAUAACACAUUAGGGGUGAUGGGAAGAAGAUUGAGGAGGGGUAGAUAUUAUUAAUUGGUUAAUGUUGGAAGCACUUCUGUCUCAUCAGGGGAUGUCUAAUUGCAUCGAGUAGUCAUGUAUGUUGCUUGUCACGUUCUAAGAGACCGUGUGAAUCUUGUCUUUGUCAUUUGACGUUGUGGCUUCUUGACUGCUUGGUUCUGUGUCUGAUUCGAGAUGGAAUGGAACCCUUUUCUCUCUCUCGCUGCGUCUCACACGUGUUCUGUGUA